rnacentral:rRNA from 1 species
UACGAAGGGUGCAAGCGUUGUCCGGAAUUAUUGGGCGUAAAGAGCUCGUAGGCGGUCUGUCGCGUCGGACGUGAAAAUCCAGGGCUCAACCCUGGACCUGCGUUCGAUACGGGCAGACUAGAGUUCGGUAGGGGAGACGUGGAAUUCCUGGUGUAGCGGUGAAAUGCGCAGAUAUCAGGAGGAACACCGGUGGCGAAGGCGGGUCUCUGGGCCGAAACUGACGCUGAGGAGCGAAAGCGUGGGGAGCAAACAGG